rnacentral:tRNA from 1 species
GGGCUAGUGGCGGAACUGGUAGACGCGCAGCACUUAAAAUGCUGUACCGGCGACGGUGUGUGGGUUCGAGUCCCACCUAGCCCACCA